AUACUGGAUGUCGCUUAAUGAGGGCUUGGUAAAUGCAUGCUUUAUGUCCGAGAAAGAAAAUGUUGGAGUAAGCGUGAUAUACGCACUUGGAACAUAAUCGUCAACAAAAAAUCGACGUAGUCUUGGAGGUAGAAGACCCAAAAUAUCCAGUUGGCGGAAACGGUAAGCCAUUUCUAAUCCUACUAAGCGUAUCAUUUUUAAGGAGUAUCCUGAAACACGAUGAUGAUGAAGUUCAUCAUAAAAUGUAGGGAACAACGAAGGGCGAGACUGGGUAAUAACAAAAUGAUUCACGUUGAAAAUCUCAGAGAUUCGUGCAUAAGGAUUAGAGCGACCGGUAUUAGGAAGCCCAGCAUACGGCCAAAUAAAAUUUUUGGGAGUACACACCUCGGUAGACCCAUCGGGAAGUUUAGCCAAAAGAGGAGAAGAGCGGUAAAUGGCAGCCCAGCUAUUGCUAGAACAUACGGCACUCCAGAUCAGCACAUUAGGGGCAGUGAAAUAAUUAAGAACCUGAGGGGAUCCAGAAACAGCUGAAGGUGGAGCAACGAUGUUAACAAUACGUCCAGUACGCUCAAAAGCCUCUUGAAAGGUAAUAGUACCGAGUCUUUGACGGACAAAAGAUGCUAUCAUGGAAAUGUCAAGCAUAUUCCCAUACUCCACAACUUUUGAAAGAGAAUAGUCAGAUGUUUGCUGACAUAUUUUCCACAGUUCGCUGGGGAAAGUAUCAAACAAACCAUUCAAUUCUUCAUCACGAUAGACACUCAAAAGCGAUGCAAUCAACGCACCUGAUGCGCAUCCUGCAAGGAUUUGAGGAAGCAAAUUACGUUUCCAAAGGGUCUUAGCUACCCCAAAGUGAUAUAGACCAAACGCAGUGCCGCCGUUGAAAUACAAACAGGUAGUACCGAAGGAAAUUCGGGCAGCGGAAAAAAAAUCGCACUUAACGUCGUAGGAAAGCCUUUUAGUGUGAUAUAAAAACUCUAAACAAUUGUUGACCUCACGUACAUACUCUUCAAUCAAAAUUUUUGUACCCGAGUAAUUCUCGGUAUACAGAGAGGAAUUGCCAAUGUUGCCAAAGUUACGAAGUAAGCUAGAGCGCAAGAACAUUAACAUGGGAUAGACAGAUUUCCUCUGGCGGUAUCGUUUUAAGGAGACCGUGCAUCGAUCAAUCAAUAGAUAGUCGUACUUGUCCGAGGCAGGAGUAAAGCGCCAUUUCCAACGCCCCGACGCCUUGUCAAUCGUCGUAGCCAAAACUUUCCAAUCCUCCCAAGAACGACAAUCCUUGUUCAUAACUACCUUUCCCUUUCGAGGGCCGGAACCACGCUGCUGCGAUAUCGACGUAGCGGAAAAUAACCAUUCAAAAAAUGAAACCACCAGUAGCCAAAUGGACGAAAUAUUCGCAUACAUAAUGC